UAAAGACAGACUGCAGUGGGAUCUCACUGGACCUCUCACCAUCACCAUCACAGACUUCAGAAACACACACUAUGGAUAUUAUUAUGUACAGAUUACCAACAAGAAAAAGAAGAGCUUCAAGUCUUUCACAUUCAUUGUUGUUCCCAGUGAUGCUGUGAAGUCAGUGUCAGUGAUGAAGGGAGAGUCUAUCAAUCUAGUAUCUCCCAUUACCGAUUUACAAAAAGAUGAUCAGAUGCUGUGGACAUUUGGACGCCAUGACAUGAUGAUAGCUGACACCAACACCUCUAGAUGUGAUAAAAGAUUCAAAGACAGAGUGACACUGGACAAGACGACUGGAUCUCUGACCAUCAUAAAGAGCACAACAGAAGACGCUGGAGAGUAUAAUCUACAGAUCAUCAGAGGCAACAGAGUCAUACAUCAGAGAUUCAAUGUUACUGUUCUUGGUGAGUAUCUCUGUCAAUGUGAUAAUUACAUUAUUAAAUCGAAAGGUUGUGCGAAGAACCAAACAUGUGAAUUCAGUCAUUAUUUUUUUUGUUUCACCCUCAAGCAAUUAAAAACGUUGACUUAUUAUAUGGACAAAAACGCUGUGAAUUUUUCAAAAUAUCUUCGUAUAAGUGAAUGUCACAGUUCCACUCUAUUUUGAAAGUUCAAAAUGGCAUUUGGGUGACCACUGUAAAUAUACUACAAUAAAAACAAAUGUACUAAC